GGUUAAGCGACUAAGCGUACACGGUGGAUGCCCUGGCAGUCAGAGGCGAUGAAGGGCGUGCUAAUCUGCGAUAAGCGCCGGUAAGGUGAUAUGAACCGUUAUAACCGGCGAUACCCGAAUGGGGAAACCCAGUGUGACUCGUCACACUAUCAUUAACUGAAUCCAUAGGUUAAUGAGGCGAACCGGGGGAACUGAAACAUCUAAGUACCCCGAGGAAAAGAAAUCAACCGAGAUUCCCCCAGUAGCGGCGAGCGAACGGGGAGGAGCCCAGAGCCUGAAUCAGCAUGUGUGUUAGUGGAAGCGUCUGGAAAGGCGCGCGAUACAGGGUGACAGCCCCGUACACAAAAGCGCAUGUGCUGUGAGCUCGAUGAGUAGGGCGGGACACGUGGUAUCCUGUCUGAAUAUGGGGGGACCAUCCUCCAAGGCUAAAUACUCCUGACUGACCGAUAGUGAACCAGUACCGUGAGGGAAAGGCGAAAAGAACCCCGGCGAGGGGAGUGAAAAAGAACCUGAAACCGUGUACGUACAAGCAGUGGGAGCACCCUUUGGGGUGUGACUGCGUACCUUUUGUAUAAUGGGUCAGCGACUUAUAUUCUGUAGCAAGGUUAACCGUAUAGGGGAGCCGGAGGGAAACCGAGUCUUAACCGGGCGUUAAGUUGCAGGGUAUAGACCCGAAACCCGGUGAUCUAGCCAUGGGCAGGUUGAAGGUUGGGUAACACUAACUGGAGGACCGAACCGACUAAUGUUGAAAAAUUAGCGGAUGACCUGUGGCUGGGGGUGAAAGGCCAAUCAAACCGGGAGAUAGCUGGUUCUCCCCGAAAGCUAUUUAGGUAGCGCCUCGUGAACUCAUCUCCGGGGGUAGAGCACUGUUUCGGCUAGGGGGCCAUCCCGGCUUACCAACCCGAUGCAAACUGCGAAUACCGGAGAAUGUUAUCACGGGAGACACACGGCGGGUGCUAACGUCCGUCGUGAAGAGGGAAACAACCCAGACCGCCAGCUAAGGUCCCAAAGUCAUGGUUAAGUGGGAAACGAUGUGGGAAGGCCCAGACAGCCAGGAUGUUGGCUUAGAAGCAGCCAUCAUUUAAAGAAAGCGUAAUAGCUCACUGGUCGAGUCGGCCUGCGCGGAAGAUGUAACGGGGCUAAACCAUGCACCGAAGCUGCGGCAGCGACGCUGAUGCGUUGUUGGGUAGGGGAGCGUUCUGUAAGCCUGUGAAGGUGGCCUGUGAGGGUUGCUGGAGGUAUCAGAAGUGCGAAUGCUGACAUAAGUAACGAUAAAGCGGGUGAAAAGCCCGCUCGCCGGAAGACCAAGGGUUCCUGUCCAACGUUAAUCGGGGCAGGGUGAGUCGACCCCUAAGGCGAGGCCGAAAGGCGUAGUCGAUGGGAAACGGGUUAAUAUUCCCGUACUUGGUGUUACUGCGAAGGGGGGACGGAGAAGGCUAUGUUGGCCGGGCGACGGUUGUCCCGGUUUAAGCGUGUAGGUGUGUGUUCCAGGUAAAUCCGGUUCACUUUAACACUGAGGCGUGAUGACGAGGCGCUACGGUGCUGAAGCAACAAAUGCCCUGCUUCCAGGAAAAGCCUCUAAGCAUCAGGUAACAUCAAAUCGUACCCCAAACCGACACAGGUGGUCAGGUAGAGAAUACCAAGGCGCUUGAGAGAACUCGGGUGAAGGAACUAGGCAAAAUGGUGCCGUAACUUCGGGAGAAGGCACGCUGACAUGUAGGUGAAGUGAUUUACUCACGGAGCUGAAGUCAGUCGAAGAUACCAGCUGGCUGCAACUGUUUAUUAAAAACACAGCACUGUGCAAACACGAAAGUGGACGUAUACGGUGUGACGCCUGCCCGGUGCCGGAAGGUUAAUUGAUGGGGUCAGCGCAAGCGAAGCUCCUGAUCGAAGCCCCGGUAAACGGCGGCCGUAACUAUAACGGUCCUAAGGUAGCGAAAUUCCUUGUCGGGUAAGUUCCGACCUGCACGAAUGGCGUAAUGAUGGCCAGGCUGUCUCCACCCGAGACUCAGUGAAAUUGAACUCGCUGUGAAGAUGCAGUGUACCCGCGGCAAGACGGAAAGACCCCGUGAACCUUUACUAUAGCUUGACACUGAACAUUGAGCCUUGAUGUGUAGGAUAGGUGGGAGGCUUUGAAGUGUGGACGCCAGUCUGCAUGGAGCCGACCUUGAAAUACCACCCUUUAAUGUUUGAUGUUCUAACGUGGACCCGUAAUCCGGGUUGCGGACAGUGUCUGGUGGGUAGUUUGACUGGGGCGGUCUCCUCCUAAAGAGUAACGGAGGAGCACGAAGGUUGGCUAAUCCUGGUCGGACAUCAGGAGGUUAGUGCAAUGGCAUAAGCCAGCUUGACUGCGAGCGUGACGGCGCGAGCAGGUGCGAAAGCAGGUCAUAGUGAUCCGGUGGUUCUGAAUGGAAGGGCCAUCGCUCAACGGAUAAAAGGUACUCCGGGGAUAACAGGCUGAUACCGCCCAAGAGUUCAUAUCGACGGCGGUGUUUGGCACCUCGAUGUCGGCUCAUCACAUCCUGGGGCUGAAGUAGGUCCCAAGGGUAUGGCUGUUCGCCAUUUAAAGUGGUACGCGAGCUGGGUUUAGAACGUCGUGAGACAGUUCGGUCCCUAUCUGCCGUGGGCGCUGGAGAACUGAGGGGGGCUGCUCCUAGUACGAGAGGACCGGAGUGGACGCAUCACUGGUGUUCGGGUUGUCAUGCCAAUGGCACUGCCCGGUAGCUAAAUGCGGAAGAGAUAAGUGCUGAAAGCAUCUAAGCACGAAACUUGCCCCGAGAUGAGUUCUCCCUGAGACUUAGAGUCUCCUGAAGGAACGUUGAAGACGACGACGUUGAUAGGCCGGGUGUGUAAGCGCAGCGAUGCGUUGAGCUAACCGGUACUAAUGAACCGUGAGGCUUAACCUU
rnacentral:rRNA from 1 species